CCUACGGGAGGCAGCAGUGAGGAAUAUUGGUCAAUGGGCGGGAGCCUGAACCAGCCAAGUCGCGUGAGGGAAGACGGUCCUAUGGAUUGUAAACCUCUUUAGGCGGGGAGCAAUGCCGGGCACGUGUGCCCGGAGGGAGAGUACCCGCAGAAUAAGCAUCGGCCAACUCCGUGCCAGCAGCCGCGGUAAUACGGAGGAUGCGAGCGUUAUCCGGAUUUAGUGGGUUUAAAGGGUGCGUAGGCGGAUUUUUAAGUCAGCGGUAAAAUGUCCGGGCUCAACCCGGGCCGGCCGUUGAAACUGGGGAUCUUGAGUGGGCGAGAAGUAUGCGGAAUGCGUGGUGUAGCGGUGAAAUGCAUAGAUAUCACGCAGAACUCCGAUUGCGAAGGCAGCAUACCGGCGCCCGACUGACGCUGAGGCACGAAAGCGUGGGGAUCGAACAGGAUUAGAUACCCUGGUAGUC
rnacentral:rRNA from 1 species